rnacentral:rRNA from 1 species
GAUGAACGCUGGCGGCGUGCUUAACACAUGCCAGUCGAACGAAGCACUUUAUUUGAUUUCCUUCGGGACUGAUUAUUUUGUGACUGAGUGGCGGACGGGUGAGUAACGCGUGGGUAACCUGCCUUGUACAGGGGGAUAACAGUUGGAAACGGCUGCUAAUACCGCAUAAGCGCACAGCAUCGCAUGAUGCAGUGUGAAAAACUCCGGUGGUAUAAGAUGGACCCGCGUUGGAUUAGCUAGUUGGUGAGGUAACGGCCCACCAAGGGGACGAUCCAUAGCCGAGAUGAGAGGGUGGCCGGACACAUUGGGACUAGGAAACGGCCCGAACUCCUACGGAAGGCAGCAGUGGGGAAUAUUGCAAAAUGGGCGAAAGCCUGAUGCAGCGACGCCGCGUGAGCGAAGAAGUAUUUCGGUAUGUAAAGCUCUAUCAGCAGGGAAGAUAAUGACGGUACCUGACUAAGAAGCACCGGCUAAAUACGUG